rnacentral:rRNA from 1 species
UACGUAGGGUGCAAGCGUUUGUCCGGAAUUAUUGGGCGUAAAGAGCUCGUAGGCGGUCUGUCGCGUCGAAUGUGAAAACCCGGGGCUCAACCCCGGGCCUGCAUUCGAUACGGGCAGACUAGAGUUCGGUAGGGGAGACUGGAAUUCCCGGUGUAGCGGUGAAAUGCGCAGAUAUCGGGAGGAACACCGGUGGCGAAGGCGGUUCUCUGGGCCUGUACUGACGCUGAGGAGCGAAAGCGUGGGGGAGCGAACAGG